AAUAAACGCUGGCAGCGUGCCUAACACAUGCAAGUCGAGCGGGAAAGUCCUUCGGGAUGAGUACAGCGGCGGACGGGUGAGAAACGCGUGAAUUAUCUGCCCCUCAGUGAAGAACACCCUCGAGAAAUCGAGGUUAAUACUGCAUAAGUCCCUACGGGGAGAAAGAUGGCCUAAUUGCUGUCGCUGAAGGAUGAGUUUGCGUACUAUUAGCUAGUUGGUGGGGUAAUAGCCUACCAAGGCGAUGAUGGUUAGCCGGCCUGAGAGGGUGUACGGCCACACUGGAACUUAGACACGGUCCAGACUCCUACGGGAGGCAGCAGUGGGGAAUAUUGCACAAUGGGCGCAAGCCUGAUGCAGCCAUGCCGCGUGUGUGAAGAAGGCCUUCGGGUUGUAAAGCACUUUCAGCGGGGAGGAAGGGCGAAUGGUUAAUAACCAUUGUCAUUGACGUUACCCGCAGAAGAAGCACCGGCUAACUCCGUGCCAGCAGCCGCGGUAACAC
rnacentral:rRNA from 1 species